UAGAGAUGAGAGCAAGUAAGUCAGGCAAAGUAAACUCAGAAAAUUCAAAGGAACAUAAACGUUUCUUGGAAACAUAAUGAGAGAAAAUAUAGUAAAAGAUAUCACCAGGAAACCUUAGGAGGAAACACGGUAAAAGAAAACACAUAAAAAUCACAGUAAAAACACCUAGGAGUUAUGGCAGAGAAAAUACAAUGAGAACACCACCCAAAAAUCACAGUAGAACAAGUAAAAUC
rnacentral:lncRNA from 1 species